rnacentral:tRNA from 1 species
GCUGUUGCUCAGUGGUAGAGUGCUUGCCUAGCACAUACAAGGUGCUGGGUUCAAUCCUCAGAACCACA